rnacentral:rRNA from 1 species
UACGUAGGUGGCGAGCGUUAUCCGAAAUGAUUGGGCGUAAAGGGUGCGUAGGUGGUUUAUUAAGUCUGGUGUAAAAGGCAGUGGCUCAACCAUUGUAUGCAUUGGAAACUGGUAGACUUGAGUGCAGGAGAGGAGAGUGGAAUUCCAUGUGUAGCGGUGAAAUGCGUAGAUAUAUGGAGGAACACCGGUGGCGAAAGCGGCUCUCUGGCCUGUAACUGACACUGAGGCUCGAAAGCGUGGGGAGCAAACAGG